GAAGUCAGAAGGACCUGGGUUCUAAUCCUAGCUCUGCCGUGUGUUUACUGCAUCACCUUGGGCAAGGCACCCCAAUGCUCUCCCCCUCAGAUAUGUCACCUGUAAAACUGGGAUUAACACCGUGAGCCCCAUGUGGCACGGGGAUUGUGUCCCAACUGAUAAAUUGUGCCUCUCGUGGUGGUGAGUACAGUGCUUGAUAAAAGUGUUCCGGGCUCUCCGUCGUACACAGUGAGCCCCCUUAAGGGUGGACCGCCACAACCUGGGACCCGUUGGACACGCCGAACCCCCUGAGGGCAGGGCCACCGAAGGCAGGGCGGCCGGCUGUGAUCUGUGGCUCAGCCCCCUUCCCACCCACCACUACCGAGGGCAAGUCUGCCACAACUGUGGAGAGGUCUGAAGCUGUGAGGCCAUCCAGGGCAGAGCCGCUGUGAAGUUAUGCCCGGGUGACGCUGGGAGCCCCCCGAGGGCAGGACCGCUGCAGUGUUGGACCCGUCGGAUACUGUGAGCUCCCCCCCCCCCGAGGGCAGGGCCCCCAAAACCUUCUGCCCAUGUGACACUGUGAGCUCAUCCAGAGCAGAGGCGCCGUAACGUUGUACCCGUGUGACACUGUGAGCCCUUGAGGGCAGGGCAGCCGCAACUUUGGACCCGUUGGAUACUGUGAGUUUUUUUUUUUUCACCCCACCCCCACCCCCUUAGGGUGGGGCCACAAAAAUGUUCUGCUGGUGGGACACUGUGAGCCCAUCCAGGGCAGAGCUGCUGUGAUGUAUCUGGGUGAUACUGUGAGCCCUCGAGGGCAGGGCCCCUGCAACUUUGGACCCGUCUGAUACUGAGCCUCCCUCCCUCCCCCCCCGCCCCCGCUUAGGGCAGGGCCAUAAAAAUGUUCUUCAUGUGUGACACUGUUAGCUCAUCCAGAGCAGAGCCGCGAGACGUUGUACCUGUGUGACACUGUGAGCCCUCAAGGGCAGGGCCUCUGCAACAUUGGACCCGUCCGAUACUGUGAGUCCCCCGCCAAGGCAGGGCCACAAAAAUGUUCUGCCCGUGUGACACCGUGAGCCCAGCCAGAGCAGAGCUGCCGUGCCAUUAUAUCUGAGUGACACGAGCCCUCGAGGUCAGGGCCGCUGUAACAUUGGACCCGUCGGACACUGAGUCCCCUCCCUUAGGGCAGGGCUACAAAAAUAUUCUGCACAUGUGACACUGAGCCCUUCUAGAGCAGAGCCGCCGUGAUGUUGUAUCUGUGUGACACUGAGCCCUCGAGGGCAGGGCCAUAGCAAUGUUGUGCCUGUGUAACAUUGUAAGCCUUUAGCACCUGGGCAUCGGAAAGCAUGAUUAAAAAUAUAGGUGGUGGCAAAAGGGGGGUGGCCUUCAUCUUCCCAUUUGGUUCUU